rnacentral:rRNA from 1 species
GACGAACGCUGGCGGCGUGCCUAAUACAUGCAAGUAGAACGCAGUUGCGAACGGGUGAGUAACGCGUAGGUAACUGCCUGGUAGCGGGGGAUGACUAUUGGAAACGAUAGCUAAUACCGCAUACUACCAGAUGUACCUGCGUUGUAUUAGCUCGUUGGUGAGGUAACGGCUCACCAAGGCAACGAUACAUAGGCGACCAGAGAGGGUGAUCGGGCAACCUUGGACUGGGACACGGCCCAGAAUGCUACGGGAAGCAGCAGGAGGGAAGCUUCGGCAAUGGGGGGAACCCUGACCGAGCAACGCCGCGUGAGUGAAGAAGGUUUUCGGAUCGUAAAGCUCUGUUGUUAAGGAAGCGGUACUUAACCAGAAAGGGACGGCUAACUACGUGCCAGCAGCCGCGGUAAUUC